rnacentral:rRNA from 1 species
UACGGGGGGAGCAAGCGUUGUUCGGAUUUACUGGGCGUAAAGGGCGCGUAGGCGGCCAGCACGAGUCAGUUGUGAAAUCUCCGGGCUUAACUCGGAAAGGUCAACUGAUACUGUGCGGCUAGAGUGCAGAAGGGGCAACUGGAAUUCUCGGUGCAGCGGUGAAAUGCGUAGAUAUCGAGAGGAACACCUGCGGCGAAGGCGGGUUGCUGGGCUGACACUGACGCUGAUGCGCGAAAGCCAGGGGAGCGAACGGG